UCGAGAAUCCUUCACAAUGGGGGAAACCCUGAUGGUGCGACGCCGCGUGGAGGAUGAAGGUCUUCGGAUUGUAAACUCCUGUCAUCCGGGAGUAAGACCUGACGGUGAACAGCCGGCAGGGUUGAUAGUACCGGAAGAGGAAGGGACGGCUAACUUCGUGCCAGCAGCCGCGGUAAUACGAAGGUCCCAAGCGUUGUUCGGAAUCACUGGGCGUAAAGGGUGCGUAGGCGGUCUUGCAAGUCGGGCGUGAAAUCCCGGGGCGCAACCCCGGAGCUGCGCUCGAUACUGCAAGGCGAGAGGACUGUAGAGGAGACUGGAAUUCUCGGUGUAGCAGUGAAAUGCGUAGAUAUCGAGAGGAACACUCGUGGCGAAGGCGAGUCUCUGGACAGUUCCUGACGCUGAGGCACGAAGGCCAGGGUAGCGAAAG
rnacentral:rRNA from 1 species